rnacentral:rRNA from 1 species
GAUGAACGCUAGCGGCAGGCUUAACACAUGCAAGGCGAGGGGGCAGCAAUGUCACCGUCGUACGGGUGCGUAACGCGUAUGCAACCUACCUUUUACUGGGGGAUAGCCCGGGGAAACCCGGAUUAAUACCGCAUGAUACAUUUGGUUCACAUGGGCUGAUUUGUUAAAGAUUUAUUGGUAAAAGAUGGGCAUGCGUUCGA